rnacentral:lncRNA from 1 species
AGUAGGCCAAGUACGUCUGAUGCAGUAGAACAUAAAUCUGGUGGCAGACUCUGUCCGAUCACGAACGAGGGCAGAACAGUUACCAAAUCAAUCCCAUUUUCUUUGCAGAAAUCCCAUGCCGCCUUCUCAGCUAAAAUUUUUGAUAAAGGGUACCAAAUCUUUUGUAAUAGGUAGGUUAAUCAGUCACAUGGAUUACAUAUAAUGUACAUACCAUAACCAAAUAUGGAGCUUAAGUAAUGUUCUAGCAUAGAUCAUUAUAGUUCUGCAUUGCUUUGCUUUGCAGCUGUUAGAAUUAUAUAUAAAAAGAGCAGCAUUCAAAGUUACUUUGAAUUCACAAAGGCCAUAGGAUUUGAUGUGAAUUUGGUGAUGAUCAUGACAGAAUUUAAACUUCAACAAGGACAGAAUGCUACCUGAAGUGUCUUGCAGAAUUCAACAGAGCUCCACGACGACUCAUCCAGCAGUAUAUUGGAGUCGAAAUCCUCAUCUGGUCUCACCCUUACAGCUGUAGAAGAUGAGGUGAGAACCACACGCCUUAGAGAUGGAUUUUUCUUGCACGAACGUAGCACAUUCAAUGUACCCUCAACAGCUGGUUCCAGGAUUUCUGUCUGUGCACAGAUGACACAUAAUAGUUACAACAAUACUCAAUUUGUGUGGAGUGGUAUUCAUUUUAGGCCAAUUGUGAUCACUUGCAAAAUAUUUUGUAGCUUGUCCUCAGCACACUCUUUAGCUUCCAAGGUUGCUUCAUCAUUCGAAAUUUCAGGACCUGUAACUAUUGUUGAGAUAGAGUCAUCAUCUCUGCUUUUAUCAUUGUUGAGUAUUGAUUUUGAGUGGUAUGGAGUUGUACACUUUUAUCGUACUUAUUAUGCAAAUGAAAUGAUGUAGUUGUUAACUUCUAAUAAGUGGUAUAAAUAGUUGUUAUAAUGUUCAUACCCUGCAACUGAGUUGAUUUCUAUGACAUAGUAUUAACAGUGUAUGACAUAAUAUUAAUAGAUUUUCACUAACAAAGCAUGCUCUAUAUAUAGUUGUGCACUUGAAGUUUAUGAUAUGCAUAAUAUGAUUUUUACUAGGAAGAUAGUUUUAUGACAUAGUAUUAACAGUGUACUCUUUUUUUUCUUCUUGUAGAGGUAUUUCCUUUUGCCUUUGUGAUUGUUUCUAGUGAAACUGUGGACAAUUAAAUGUGGUUUCUGCAAAGGAUAUCGAAUGUCUUGCUAGGCUUUUUUGGAUUUUUUAAAUAUAGUUUUUUGUAUAAAAUGUACUUCUAUAACAUGGUAUUAACAAUGUACUUCUAUGAUAUGGUAUUAACAAUGUACUUUGGGCUUGCUGGGCUUGUUUUGGAUUUUUUUUGAGUUUUUUGUGUUGGGCUUGUUUUAAGUUAAUCAAUGGCGAUCAUGUAAUUUAUAGGAACUUCAACACUCAUUUCUUUUGUAGUAAAUGGUUUUUGGGUAUAUUUCUAUAGUGCAUUCCAUGUGGGGGUUAUUUAUUUAUUUUUUAUUAUAUAAUUUUAGCCCCUAUUUUGGGUAUACUACUAAAGCUCUUUUUUCUUUUUCUGUUUAAAAUUUUUAUUUUUUUAAUAAAAUGAGGGAGCUAUUAAAAAACACAACCAAAAAAAAAAAAAGGAGGGGAGGUUGAGACCCGAAGAUCUUGAUCCUCAAUAUAGGGCCAACAGUUCCUAAAUUCAUGAAAAAAGGCCAGAAUAUCCUUUUUCUAUUAGGUGGUGGUUUUAUCCCCACAUUUAUUUAUUUAUAUUUAAAGUAUGGAAUAGAAUUAGUACUCAUACAAGCAGACGAUUUAUUGUCCAUACCAGCAAUUUAUUUACAAACAAUUUAUAGCAAUUUAUUUUAUGAAUUAAUUGUGCAUUAUGAUGAGUUUUACAACAUACACAGAUCAUGACCAAAAGUUUCUUGAUCCUCAUCAUACAACUACAUCAGGACAUGAAGAUCCUUGAUAAUGAUAAUGAUAAUAAUACGAGAGAUGACAGUCUCUCCGGAACUAUAUUUGCAAAAAAGUAAUUGGACCUGAAGAUCCUUAACAUAUAAACCAAGACCUGAAGCUCCUUGAUAAUGUAAUGGUGUCGUACACUGUACACAUGAAUAGUAAAUAUACUGGCAAAUGUAUUAUACAUGAAUAGUAACCAUUUUGGGUGAACUGUUACUACAUACAAAAAGGGACAUGCAAUUCCUUAAACUCAUAAAAGAGCAAUUAAACGAUAAACCAGAAGUUUCAACUAUUUAUUUUACAUCAGUUUAAUUAUUGUCUUACUUUUAUUAUUGUAUUUUAUUUAUUUCAUUUCAGUAUUAUAUAUGUAUGGAUAAGAAAUUCAAAAUAUGAAAUGAAGUUCAAACAUCUCAAUUAUGUCAAAAACCAGAAGUUUUGAGAACAUUUACAUAAAUGUAAAUGUGGAGUUCAAAGCACAAUUAUUAAUUUAUUAUUGAAUCCACAAGUUUGAACCUGAAGCUUCGAAUAUAUGAAACUAGAUGUUCAGGAAUAUAUCAUUAACCUGAAGUUCAUUGGUUAUGUGUGCUUAUUUGGAAUUUAAUUCAUGGAACCUGAAGUUCUAUAUAUAUGAAAUAAAUUUGCAAGAACCCGAAGUUCUGUAGACAAACAUACAUAUGUUUACAUAGAAUAUGAAGUUCUGCAUUUUUGAUAUCAUGAUUAAGAAAUUAUAAGAUCAAAUUUACAAAGAACCUAAAGUUUCUUGGUCACUCGUAUGAUUUCAAAAAUGGACCAGAAGUUCAUAUGAUUUAAAGAUUCAGUGGAUACUAUAUUCAUAUUAUUAUGGAGAAUUGGAACUUGCAGUUCUAUAUUACAAAGGAGAAAAAUUACAUAAUUAAAAUUGCAUUAGAUGUUUAGUGCCUCAGAGUCAGAAUUUAGGCAUCUACCGGAGAAUUUUUGUGUUCCUCAUGUGUAUUUUCUUCAGAAACCUGCAACACAAAAUCAAGUUUCUCCAAAUCUUUAUUUAUUUUCUCUAGACACCUGACAACCAUCCUUAUUAUUUGAAUUCGAGUUCCACAAAAUCUAUUCUCUCCACUUAAGCUUGUCGACCACGUUCAGGUAUUCAAUCCGACCUUUGAGAUAUUUUUAUUUAUGAAAAGAUUCAAUUCUUAUCGUUUUACUCUUUACUGAAUUUACGGACUGUCUUAUUGAGAAUUUUGUCAAAAUUAAUCUGAUUGAUUUGAGACUAACGUGUGGUUUAUAUUGAAGCCACUUGUUUUCUAUAUUCAAAAGCAAGUUUUUAUUUUCUAAUUAUUUUUGGAAUUCAAACUUGGUAUCUGUUCAUCUACAUGAAGUGAGAAAAUUCUCAAGAUAGUAAGCGCUACGCAUUAUCGAGGUGAGAAAAUUCUCAAAACUUUAUUGAUAAAGUAUUGAUAACAUGAACUCGAACUUUGCCGAAACACGAUAUUUGAGAUAGCGUAACUAGAGAGUAAGAUGACCUUGCUCAACCAAUGAGGCAAUACAAUCAUCAAACAUCUCUUGGAUAGUCUUGAACUUGAACCCUAGACUCUUCAACUUUGAGGUGUUCAAAUCAUACCUUGGCCUGCCUAGUUGCUCAAACCUGAAAAUUCCCAUGUACACAUUAAACUUAAUAACAGUUCGUAAUCUUCUGUUUUCCAUAAAAUUAUUUUGAAUCUUUUACUUAAUUUAAUUCCCAUGUCGACUAGCUAGCUCUCUAUUUGUUGUUUUUACUACUUAUAUCUGGAGGAAAAAAAAUCAAACCUUUUGGGGAUAGGUAAGGAAGGAUAUUGCCUGGAUAACAAGGAAGCCAACUCAUUGUUGUCCAAAACUGUUGAGCUGCAAAGGUAUCGACCAUGAGCACUUUCAUGCUCAUAAACUGAGAUGUGGCAAAGUGCAACAUCAUCAAUGUGAACAUAUCCCAUCCUUCCAUGCCACUUGAACUUCUCUGUUUCCCCUGCUUUAUUGUUCAAACAAAUCGGCGCUUAACAAUCAUAUAAACGGAAUUAGUAGUUAAACCAAGAAUGAGUACCUUUAAGCAGGCCAAGUACGUCUGAUGCAGUAGAACAUAAAUCUGAUGGCAGACAAGGUCCGAUCACGAACGAGGGCAGAACAGUUACCAAAUCAAUCCCAUUUUCUUUGCAGAAAUCCCAUGCCGCCUUCUCAGCUAAAAUUUUCGAUAAAGGGUACCAAAUCU